rnacentral:rRNA from 1 species
UACGUAGGGUGCAAGCGUUGUCCGGAAUUAUUGGGCGUAAAGAGCUCGUAGGUGGCCUGUCGCGUCGGCUGUGAAAACUCGGGGCUCAACUCCGAGCUUGCAGUCGAUACGGGCAGGCUAGAGUUCGGCAGGGGAGACUGGAAUUCCUGGUGUAGCGGUGAAAUGCGCAGAUAUCAGGAGGAACACCGGUGGCGAGGGCGGGUCUCUGGGCCGAUACUGACACUGAGGAGCGAAAGCGUGGGGAGCGAACAGG